AGCAGAGUGGCUCAGCGGAAGCGUGCUGGGCCCAUAACCCAGAGCUUGAUGGAUCGAAACCAUCCUCUGCUA
rfam:Xiphophorus maculatus strain JP 163 A Contig374.42, whole genome shotgun sequence.